rnacentral:rRNA from 1 species
GACGUAGGAGGCGAGCGUUAUCCGGAUUUACUGGGCGUAAAGGGCAAGUAGGCGGUGGUUCAAGUUGGACGUGACAUCUCCCGGCUUAACUGGGAGGGGUCGUUCAAAACUGGGUCACUGGAGGGCAGGAGAGGGAAGCGGAAUUCCUGGUGUAGCGGUGGAAUGCUCAGAUACCAGGAGGAACACCAGUGGCGAAGGCGGCUUCCUGGCCUGUACCUGACGCUGAGAGGCGAAAGCUAGGGGAGCGAACGGG